UGAGGAAUAUUGCGCAAUGGGGGCAACCCUGAUGCAGCGACGCCGCGUGAGCGAUGAAGCCCUUCGGGGUGUAAAGCUCUUUCGGCAGGGAAGAUGAUGACGGUACCUGCAGAAGCAGCUGCGGCUAACUACGUGCCAGCAGCCGCGGUAAUACGUAGGCAGCAAGCGUUGUUCGGAGUUACUGGGCGUAAAGGGUGUGUAGGCGGUUCUUUAAGUUUGGUGUGAAAUCUCCCGGCUCAACUGGGAGGGUGCGCCGAAUACUGAGGGACUCGAGUGCGGGAGAGGAAAGUGGAAUUCCUGGUGUAGCGGUGAAAUGCGUAGAUAUCAGGAGGAACACCGGUGGUGUAAACGGCUUUCUGGACCGUAACUUACGCUGAGACACGAAAGCGUGGGUAGCAAACA
rnacentral:rRNA from 1 species